GAGAGAGAAUAUUACGGAGAAUAUUACGGAGAGUUCGAAGAGAGUCCGCCCCCAAAAGUGGCGCGAAUCAAUAACCGAUUCGCCAAACGGUUUAUAUUUGAAAUGUGCUUUUCUGCUAAACAUGACUGCACUCUAAGCAUGCCUUGACUUUUCGUUUAGAGUUGAUAGAACUAAUCUCAUAAUAAAUCACUUUUUGUCGAAAUUUCAAGCGAAUAACAUCGAUUUCGGCUGGAGUAAAAAUCUCUCUGCAAUUUGUUCCAAAUUCGUGUGAAAAUGCCCGCAAAGAAGGAUUCGAGCAAAAGUGCCAAGAAAGGGGCUGCCGCUCCUGCUGGGCCGAAAGCCACCGCCGAUCCUGUGACUUCCGGCUCCACAACUGCUGCUGAGCCAGCCGCCAAGGAGGCCAAGGGCGCCAAAAAGGGCAAAGGCAAGAAGAAGUAACGUCCCCAACUGGUUUGGUGGAGCUAACGUGAAGAAAAAAGGAAACUCAAGUUUCCGCCGAGAACAAAAUAAACAAUGGUUUAAAACCAGCUAAACUAAA